rnacentral:rRNA from 1 species
GACGUAGGGCGCGAGCGUUGUCCGGAAUUAUUGGGCGUAAAGAGCUCGUAGGCGGUCUGUCGCGUCUGCUGUGAAAACUCAGGGCUUAACCCUGAGCUUGCAGUGGGUACGGGCAGACUAGAGUGCGGUAGGGGAGACUGGAAUUCCUGGUGUAGCGGUGAAAUGCGCAGAUAUCAGGAGGAACACCGGUGGCGAAGGCGGGUCUCUGGGCCGUAACUGACGCUGAGGAGCGAAAGCAUGGGGAGCGAACAGG